UCUCAUCUUGCCACAAAUCUUUUGGCGCGAAACCUGUUCAGCAGCUUUCAAUAGUUCUACCGCGCUUCACUUGUGUGCAUAUUUACUUUUUGCAUUUUGAAAAUCUACACGAGCUGUGAUGCUAGACGACACAAAUGUGUUUGAUUUUCGCCGUUGUUUGCACACUGAUUCCUUUGACCAGAGAGGUUCUAGGGAAGCUGCUGACAGUAGCAACCUACAGUACUUUGCGAGCUGCGAAACGAUUAAAAGCUUAACACGCAGGAUGAAACCCGCUGUACACUGUUUGCUUGUGGUUCUAGUGUUUGAUGUAGUGAUUGGAGAGGAUCAACUUGCCGCGAUCGCACACGAGAGAGGGAACGUUGUACGAGAACGUAGAUCACCGUUCUUGUCAUUUCCCGGGGGCGGAUUCGGUGUUGGAGUUCGAUACGAUGAUACUCGUUACCGUAGUAUACCAGGGUUUAUCUUUCAACGAUAUGAAGGAUACUACGGAAGCCGAAUUCCCGAUGCGUUUGUCAACAUCUCCGACUAACAUCACUGCACAGAAUGAUGAGUUUCGAUAAACAAAUGGCGCAUUACGCUCUUCAUCUCGGAACUUUGUCGUUUCACGCUUCCCAGCAAGCUUCCCUUCCUCGACAUUCUCAUCAUCCAGAUAAAUCGUUAUUAGCACCAACAUGCCUCGUGGCAAGCCAUCUCAUCGUCUCUGUCGUGUAUGUUUUCGGAAGCGUGUUUGUAAAGCCUGUUACGACGAUUUGCUUGAGUGAAAAUUAACGCUUCUCUCAUCUCGGCUUGGCUAUUUAAAUCCUGUUCCGGUGUUUUCGCCGAUUUCAUUCGGCUUACAACCGGAUUAUUGAAGAGUUCGGAAAGCAAUUGUCUGGAGUGAACUUUUUCCUAAAACACAAAAUGAAGUGCGUCGUGUUGUUGGGGAUUCUUACUGUAAUCCUGAGCCUUAAUGUUGUACCGACACAGUCAAAUCCUGUGCCACAGAUUGGAUUUGAAGUUGGCUUAAUAGGUCCGUACAGCGGAUACGGUGGAUUAGGAUACGGAGGAUACGGUGGUUACGGCGGAGGAUAGCCAUGCCCACUACGGUGGAUAUGGUGGAUAUGGUGGAUACGGUGGCUACGGUGGCUACGGGCAUGGUUAUGGAUACUACCGACGAAGACGACCAUUCUUCGCUCCGCCUGCUAUAUUGGUUGGAUAAGUUGAGCGGAAGGGAAUUAAAAGAGAGAGCUGCGAAAAUCUGUUUGUGAUCGUUAAACUACAAAUAAUGCUCGUAAACGAUUGUUGAAUGUCGGUUACCAUUAUAAUGGAACAGUUUAGUGAGCCAGUUUUAGGAGAAACCCCUUUCACAAAGUGAACACUAUAAAAUUAAGAAAAAUAAAUUAUAAUAUAUUGUGUUAUGUAAUAAAAUUACUAAAAGUUAUAUAAUUAA